rnacentral:lncRNA from 1 species
UUUUUUUUUUUCUUAGAGAAAGAGUCUCAGUCUGUCACCCAGGCUGGAGUGUAGUGACGUGAUCUUGGCUCACUGCAACCUCUGCCUCCCAGGAUCAAGCCAUUCUCCUUCCUCAGCCUCCCGAGUAUCUGGGACUGCAGGCGCACACCAUCAUGCCCGGCUAAUUUUUGUAUUUUUAGUAGAGACGGAGAUUUCACUAUGUUGGCCAGGCUGGUCAUCUUGAAUUCCUGACCUCAAGUGGUUCACCUGCCUGGGCCUCUCAAAGUGCUGGGAUUCCAGGCAUAAGCCACCACACCUGGCCUGUAUCUCUAAUAAUUUAAAUACUGAUACAGUUUCUUCAGAGUGUUACCUGCACCUGGAAAACUGAGGUCGAUAAAAAUGAAAAAAAUGCAUGGCAUACAUCACCAAGAAUCAAAGGUUGUGCCUGGCAGUGUGACUGACUCUGUAAUAAAGAGAGAAGCUUUGCUAGCUCCUGAUGCAGCUGCUGUCUGCAGACCCCCUGGACUGCCUGGGGAAGUGAGUUGGAGCUCCUGCAGCAGAGGGGUGGAACAGCUACAUGAAGAUCCGAAGGUGGCCAAAAAUAACAGCGCUUUCCAGAUGAGGGAGCCAGUUGUCCAGCACAGUGUAAUGGGAUGGUGGGCCCUGGUGCCACAAUGCCCGGCAUCUCUGAGAUCUUCAUGA